rnacentral:rRNA from 1 species
AACGAACGCUGGCGGCAUGCCUAACACAUGCAAGUCGAACGAAGUGGCGCACGGGUGCGUAACGCGGGGGAAUCUGCCCUUAGGUACGGAAUAACCGCUGGAAACGGCUGCUAAAAUCGGAAGCCUGAGGAGGAGCCCGCGUUGGGUAAGGUAGUUGGUGGGGUAAAGGCCUACCAAGCCGACGAUCCAUAGCUGGUCUGGGAGGAUGAUCAGCCACCCUGGGACUGAGACACGGCCCAGACUCCUACGAGAGGCAGAAGUGGGGAAUAUUGGACAAUGGGCGAAAGCCUGAUCCAGCAAUGCCGCGUGGGUGAUGAAGGCCCGAGGGUUGUAAAGCUCUUUUACCCGGGAAGCUGUACCGGGAGAAUAAGCCCCGGCUAACUCCGUGCCAGCAGCCGCGGUAAUAC